UACGUAGGGUGCGAGCGUUGUCCGGAAUUAUUGGGCGUAAAGAGCUCGUAGGCGGCUUGUUGCGUCUGCCGUGAAAAUUCACAGCUUAACUGUGGACGUGCGGUGGAUACGGGCAGGCUUGGAGUUCGGUAGGGGAGACUGGAAUUCCUGGUGUAGCGGUGAAAUGCGCAGAUAUCAGGAGGAACACCGGUGGCGAAGGCGGGUCUCUGGGCCGUAACUGACGCUGGAGGAGCGAAAGCAUGGGGGAGCGAACAGG
rnacentral:rRNA from 1 species